GAGUGAUCAGGUACAGGAUCCACCUAACAUUACCAUGUACGCUGUGAAAUUUGCAUUCGUUCUAAUGUUUGCAGUCAUUGUUAUGCUGAUAAAUAUUUCCCCCAGUGUGGAGUUUCAUUUCCCCGCGUUUCACAGAUGUGUCGACGGUUAUAACGGAACGCCCUGCAAUCCACUGAGACGGCGCUACUGUGGUAGAGGCUGCAAGUGUAGCUACUGUGGCGACCCUUACAAGAGAUAUACGUGCCAGUUCGUAAAAAAACUUAAAUUGAGGGAAUAAAAAUGUCUUCCUAUAUUGCUGAAAAACAGCAAACUUGAGCGGCUUUGAAUAAAUACAACCCAACUCCCA